CGCGUGAGGAACCUGCCUCAAAGAGGGGGGACAACAGUUGGAAACGACUGCUAAUACCGCAUAAGCCCACGGUGCCGCAUGGCACAGAGGGAAAAGGAGCAAUCCGCUUUGAGAUGGCCUCGCGUCCGAUUAGCUAGUUGGUGAGGUAACGGCCCACCAAGGCAACGAUCGGUAGCCGGACUGAGAGGUUGAACGGCCACAUUGGGACUGAGACACGGCCCAGACUCCUACGGGAGGCAGCAGUGGGGGAUAUUGCACAAUGGGGGAAACCCUGAUGCAGCGACGCCGCGUGGAGGAAGAAGGUCUUCGGAUUGUAAACUCCUGUUGUUGGGGAAGAUAAUGACGGUACCCAACAAGGAAGUGACGGCUAACUACGUGCCAGCAGCCGCGGUAAAACGUAGGUCACAAGCGUUGUCCGGAAUUACUGGGUGUAAAGGGAGCGCAGGCGGGAAGACAAGUUG
rnacentral:rRNA from 1 species